rnacentral:rRNA from 1 species
UACAGAGGUCUCAAGCGUUGUUCGGAUUCAUUGGGCGUAAAGGGUGCGUAGGUGGCGGGGUAAGUCAGGUGUGAAAUUUCGGAGCUUAACUCCGAAACUGCAUUUGAUACUGCCUUGCUUGAGGACUGGAGAGGAGACUGGAAUUCACGGUGUAGCAGUGAAAUGCGUAGAGAUCGUGAGGAAGACCAGUGGCGAAGGCGGGUCGUCUGGACGAGUUCCUGACACUGAGGCACGAAGGCCAGGGGAGCAAACGGG